GACGAACGCUGGCGGCGUGCUUAACACAUGCGAGUCGAACGGAAAGGCCCUGCUUGCCGGGUACUCGAGUGGCGAACGGGUGAGUAACACGUGGGUGAUCUGCCCUGCACUUCGGGAUAAGCCUGGGAAACUGGGUCUAAUACCGGAUAGGAGCCAUUUUUAGUGUGAUGGUUGGAAAGUUUUUUCGGUGUAGGAUGAGCUCGCGGCCUAUCAGCUUGUUGGUGGGGUAAUGGCCUACCAAGGCGGCGACGGGUAGCCGGCCUGAGAGGGUGGACGGCCACAUUGGGACUGAGAUACGGCCCAGACUCCUACGGGAGGCAGCAGUGGGGAAGAUUGCACAAUGGGCGCAAGCCUGAUGCAGCGACGCCGCGUGGGGGAUGACGGCCUUCGGGUUGUAAACUCCUUUCGCUAGGGACGAAGCUUUUUGUGACGGUACCUAGAUAAGAAGCACCGGCUAACUACGUG
rnacentral:rRNA from 1 species